UCCCCUGCGCCGAUGCACGGCGCUCAGCUCCGCGUCGCCUACCAAGGCGUUCCUGGCGCGUACAGUGAAGCUGCCGCCGGCAAGGCUUAUCCGAAAUGUGAAGCGAUACCUUGUGAUCAAUUUGAGGUUGCAUUUCAAGCCGUUGAACUCUGGAUUGCAGACCGCGCAGUUCUUCCCGUCGAGAACUCUCUCGGAGGUUCCAUUCACCGGAAUUACGACCUCCUCCUCCGUCACCGUCUCCACAUCGUCGGAGAAGUCCAGCUCCCGGUCCACCACUGCCUCUUAGCACUUCCAGGCGUUAGAAAAGAGUACCUAACUCGAGUCAUAAGCCAUCCACAAGCCCUAGCUCAGUGCGAACUCACUCUCACAAAGCUCGGUCUAAACGUAGCUCGCGAAGCCGUCGAUGAUACCGCCGGAGCCGCCGAAUACAUAGCUGCCAACAACCUCCGCGAUACAGCCGCGAUUGCAUCCGCACGCGCCGCGGAC
rnacentral:lncRNA from 1 species